rnacentral:rRNA from 1 species
GAUGAACGCUGGCGGCGUGCCUAAUACAUGCAAGUAGAACGCUGAAGCUUGGUGCUUGCACCGAGCGGAGGAGUUGCGAACGGGUGAGUAACGCGUAGGUAACCUGCCUCUUAGCGGGGGAUAACUAUUGGAAACGAUAGCUAAUACCGCAUAAAAGUCGACAUUGCAUGAUGUUGACUUGAAAGGUGCAACUGCAUCACUAAGAGAUGGACCUGCGUUGUAUUAGCUAGUUGGUGAGGUAACGGAUCACCAAGGCGACGAUACAUAGCCGACCUGAGAGGGUGAUCGGCCACACUGGGACUGAGACACGGCCCAGACUCCUACGGGAGGCAGCAGUAGGGAAUCUUCGGCAAUGGACGGAAGUCUGACCGAGCAACGCCGCGUGAGUGAAGAAGGUUUUCGGAUCGUAAAGCUCUGUUGUAAGAGAAGAACGAGUGUGAGAGUGGAAAGUUCACACUGUGACGGUAACUUACCAGAAAGGGACGGCUAACUACGUGC